UGCCUAAUACAUGCAAGUCGAACGAGUUCUCGUUGAUGAUCGGUGCUUGCACCGAGAUUCAACAUGGAACGAGUGGCGGACGGGUGAGUAACACGUGGGUAACCUGCCCUUAAGUGGGGGAUAACAUUUGGAAACAGAUGCUAAUACCGCAUAGAUCCAAGAACCGCAUGGUUCUUGGCUGAAAGAUGGCGUAAGCUAUCGCUUUUGGAUGGACCCGCGGCGUAUUAGCUAGUUGGUGAGGUAAUGGCUCACCAAGGCGAUGAUACGUAGCCGAACUGAGAGGUUGAUCGGCCACAUUGGGACUGAGACACGGCCCAAACUCCUACGGGAGGCAGCAGUAGGGAAUCUUCCACAAUGGACGCAAGUCUGAUGGAGCAACGCCGCGUGAGUGAAGAAGGCUUUCGGGUCGUAAAACUCUGUUGUUGGAGAAGAAUGGUCGGCAGAGUAACUGUUGUCGGCGUGACGGUAUCCAACCAGAAAGCCACGGCUAACUACGUGCCAGCAGCCGCGGUAAUACGUAGGUGGCAAGCGUUAUCCGGAUUUAUUGGGCGUAAAGCGAGCGCAGGCGGUUUUUUAAGUCUGAUGUGAAAGCCCUCGGCUUAACCGAGGAAGCGCAUCGGAAACUGGGAAACUUGAGUGCAGAAGAGGACAGUGGAACUCCAUGUGUAGCGGUGAAAUGCGUAGAUAUAUGGAAGAACACCAGUGGCGAAGGCGGCUGUCUGGUCUGUAACUGACGCUGAGGCUCGAAAGCAUGGGUAGCGAACAGGAUUAGAUACCCUGGUAGUCCAUGCCGUAAACGAUGAAUGCUAGGUGUUGGAGGGUUUCCGCCCUUCAGUGCCGCAGCUAACGCAUUAAGCAUUCCGCCUGGGGAGUACGACCGCAAGGUUGAAACUCAAAGGAAUUGACGGGGGCCCGCACAAGCGGUGGAGCAUGUGGUUUAAUUCGAAGCAACGCGAAGAACCUUACCAGGUCUUGACAUCUUUUGAUCACCUGAGAGAUCAGGCUUCCCCUUCGGGGGCAAAAUGACAGGUGGUGCAUGGUUGUCGUCAGCUCGUGUCGUGAGAUGUUGGGUUAAGUCCCGCAACGAGCGCAACCCUUAUGACUAGUUGCCAGCAUUUAGUUGGGCACUCUAGUAAGACUGCCGGUGACAAACCGGAGGAAGGUGGGGAUGACGUCAAAUCAUCAUGCCCCUUAUGACCUGGGCUACACACGUGCUACAAUGGAUGGUACAACGAGUUGCGAGACCGCGAGGUCAAGCUAAUCUCUUAAAGCCAUUCUCAGUUCGGACUGUAGGCUGCAACUCGCCUACACGAAGUCGGAAUCGCUAGUAAUCGCGGAUCAGCACGCCGCGGUGAAUACGUUCCCGGGCCUUGUACACACCGCCCGUCACACCAUGAGAGUUUGUAACACCCGAAGCCGGUGGCGUAACCCUUUUAGGGAGCGAGCCGUCUAA
rnacentral:rRNA from 2 species